AUGUCCAGUACUUCUGGAAGUAGGAACUGGCUAUUGAAGAACUUUGGCAAGUUCUCCAAGUAUGCAACUUUGGAAGAGCUUGACAUUCUAAAUGCAGAUUUCUCCAGUUUUGAUUCUUUGGAUCUGCUGACCCCAAGCCAAGCAGCUGAACUCACUCUGACCUCUGGACCACUGAACAGCACAAGUCAGAUCGACCGAGUGUUUGACCGACUAAAGACUGGAGAUGCUUUCAACAACGUGGAUGAAUUUUUAACAACGCUCUCUGAUCUGAAGGUAAGUGGCACGCUUAAACUACCUCAAAUUUGUUGCUCAACAACCCAUGCAAUGAGGCGGCAUCCAUGACUUGACCUGAGAUAUCAUUCCCACCUGUUGCAUUGCUUUUCUUCAGGCUGACCUAAGCAUUGUCCCAGCUGUGAGAGAUGUGAUGAUGAAUAGAACCUUCCAGAUCAUCAGCAUCAAGUUUCCACAGUUUGAGACCUCUGACUGGAUGGAGUGGUUUGACCUCAAGCUG
rnacentral:lncRNA from 1 species